GAUGAACGCUGGCGGCGUGCCUAAUACAUGCAAGUCGAGCGAACGGACGAGAAGCUUGCUUCUCUGACGUUAGCGGCGGACGGGUGAGUAACACGUGGAUAACCUACCUAUAAGACUGGGAUAACUUCGGGAAACCGGAGCUAAUACCGGAUGAUAUUUUGAACCGCAUGGUUCAAAAGUGAAAGACGGUUUUGCUGUCACUUAUAGAUGGAUCCGCGCUGCAUUAGCUAGUUGGUAAGGUAACGGCUUACCAAGGCAACGAUGCGUAGCCGACCUGAGAGGGUGAUCGGCCACACUGGAACUGAGACACGGUCCAGACUCCUACGGGAGGCAGCAGUAGGGAAUCUUCCGCAAUGGGCGAAAGCCUGACGGAGCAACGCCGCGUGAGUGAUGAAGGUCUUCGGAUCGUAAAACUCUGUUAUUAGGGAAGAACAUAUGUGUAAGUAACUAUGCACAUCUUGACGGUACCUAAUCAGAAAGCCACGGCUAACUACGUG
rnacentral:rRNA from 1 species